rnacentral:rRNA from 1 species
CCCUUAGAUGUCCUGGGCCGCACGCGCGCUACACUGAUGCAUGCAACGAGUUUAUAACCUUGGCCUGAAAGGUCUGGGUAAUCUUUUGAACGUGCAUCGUGGUAGGGAUAGAUUAUUGCAAUUGUUAAUCUUGAACGAGGAAUUCCUAGUAAACGCGAGUCAUCAGCUCGCAUUGAUUACGUCCCUGCCCUUUGUACACACCGCCCGUCGCACCUACCGAUUGAAUGGUUCGGUGAAGAUCUCGGACUUCGAUAUUUAUUCUUUAUUGAGUUUAUAUUGUGGGAAGUUAUCUAAACCUCAUCAUUUAGAGGAAGGUGAAGUCGUAACA